rnacentral:snRNA from 1 species
AUCGCUUCUCGGCCUUUUGGCUAAGAUCAAGUGUAGUAUCUGUUCUUAUCAGUUUAAUAUCUGAUACGUCCUCUAUCCAAGAGAUGUACCCUAGCUCAGAAAAAUGUUAUUGAAUAGGUUAAUGCUGUUGUAAUGAAAUGCUUC